AAAACUUUUUUUUUUCAUUUUCUUCAUUUAAAAAAAAAAAUUUGGGGGCCUAUUCAUCUUCUUCCCAAUUUCCCUCUUCCGUCUCUGCAAAGUGCAAGCUACAAAUGAUUUUUUUUUUCAUUUUCUUCAUUUAAAAAAAAAAAAUUGGCGGCCAAAAAUAGACCCCUCUAAAUCGUUGGCUUGAGGCGCAGGCCUCAUCUGCCUCGCCUCAGGAUCGCCUGUGAUGCUCCAUUGUUGAAGAGUAGAAGAAGAAGAAGUCCGUACAAUCCCAUCGAAUUCAUUAUAAUCAAAAUGAG
rnacentral:lncRNA from 1 species